GAUGAACGCUGACAGAAUGCUUAACACAUGCAAGUCAACUGUGGCGGACGGGUGAGUAACGCGUAAAGAACUUGCCUCACAGCUAGGGACAACAUUAGGAAACGAAUGCUAAUACCUGACAUUGUGUGAGAGCUUUGCGUCCUAUUAGCUAGUUGGAGAGGUAACGGCUCACCAAGGCGAUGAUGGGUAGCCGGCCUGAGAGGGUGAUCGGCCACAAGGGGACUGGGACUCCGCCCUUACUCCUACGGGAGGCAGCAGUGGAAAAUAUAGGACAAUCGACCAAAGUCUGAUCCAGCAAUUCUGUUUGCACAAUGAAGUUUUCGGAAUGUAAAGUGCUUUCAGUUGGGAAGCGGUACCAACAGAAGAAGUGACGGCUAAAUACGUGCCAGCAGCCGCGGUAAUAC
rnacentral:rRNA from 1 species